CGCGGAGUAGAGCAGUCAGGUCAGCUCGUCGGGCUCAUAACCCGAAGGUCAUAGGUUCAAAUCCUGUCUCCGCAA
rnacentral:tRNA from 1 species